rnacentral:rRNA from 1 species
GGAGCGGGCAUCAGGCGCACCAAAGCAGCCCACAACGCCUUGCUUUGCCACACCCCCACGGGCCCCAGCAGUGAUAGACAUUAAGCAAUGAGUAUUACCCAAACUCGACUUAGUCAUAGCUACGCACUUAGGGCCGGUAAACUACGUGCCAGCCACCGCGGUUACACGUCAUGGCCCAAAAUAAGCCCCCCGGCGUAAAACGUGCCUAGAAAAAAGUUAUAAACAAGAGAGCGCAACAAUAGUAAAGCUGUAAAAUACACAUACAACUAAGAACACCAAUAACUCCCUGUUAAAAACAAAUUUGACCACACGACUGCUGGGGCCCAAACUAGGAUUAGAUACCCUACUAUGCCCAGCCAUAAACACAGAUAGACUGUCAACACCACUAUCCGCCAGAAAAUUACAAGUGAAAAACUUAAAACUCUAAGGACUUGACGGUGCCCCACACCAACCUAGAGGAGCCUGUCCUAUAAUCGAUACUCCGCGCUUUACCUUUCCCCCCCUCGCCUUCAGCCUAUAUACCGCCGUCGCCAGCCUACCCUGUGAUAGAAAACAAGUAAGCAAAACAGCCCACCACACGCAAACACGUCAGGUCAAGGUGUAGCCAAUGGGGCGGACAGAGAUGGGCUACAUUUUCUAAUACUAGAAAACACCACACGCUACCUGAAACACUACGCCAAAAGGUGGAUUUAGUAGUAAACAAGAGUAAGACACACUCACUUGAAACCUGCUCUGGGGCGCGCACACACCGCCCGUCACCCUCCUCACCACCCACUAUAGACCACUUCAUAAUAAACCCAC